UACGUAGGGGGCUAGCGUUGUCCGGAAUCAUUGGGCGUAAAGAGCGUGUAGGCGGCCCGGUAAGUCCGCUGUGAAAGCCGGGGGCUCAACCCUCGAAUGCCGGUGGAUACUGUCGGGCUAGAGUGCGGAAGAGGCGAGUGGAAUUCCUGGUGUAGCGGUGAAAUGCGCAGAUAUCAGGAGGAACACCGAUUGCGAAGGCAGCUCGCUGGGACGUAACUGACGCUGAGACGCGAAAGCGUGGGGAGCAAACAGG
rnacentral:rRNA from 1 species